rnacentral:rRNA from 1 species
ACCUACGGGGCGCAGCAGUAGGGAAUUUUCGUCAAUGGCGCAAGCCUGAACGAGCAAUGCCGCGUGAACGAGGAAGGUCUUCGGAUCGUAAAGUUCUGUUGAAGGGGAAAUGAGCGGAGAGAGGAAAUGGUCUCCGAUUGAUAUUACCCUUCGAGGAAGUCACGGCUAACUACGUGCCAGCAGCCGCGGUAAUACGUAGGUGGCGAGCGUUAUCCGGAAUGAUUGGGCGUAAAGGGUGCGUAGGCGGCCUGCUAAGUCUGGAGUGAAAGGUACCGGCUCAACCGGUACAGGCUCUGGAAACUGGG